AAAAUCCCUCCCCCAAAAUCCCACUCCACACUGUCUCUCUCAUCAAUUCAACAAUUUCCGAUCACCCCAAAACGAUGCCGUACUACUCGCACAAUCGCGAAGACGAAGUCCACGACUUCGACGAGUACGAUCCGACCCCCUACGGCGGCGGAUACGACCAAGCCCUCACCUACGGCCGCCCCCUCGCGCCUUCCGAGGAGACUUGCUACCCCAGCUCCUCCGCCCCCGACGACCAGGACGACUACGAACGCCCCGAUCUCUCCUCCUACAGAGAGCCCUCCGCCUACGCCGACGAGGCUCUCAACAACGAGUACAGCAGCUACGAGCGUCGCAAGCCGCGACCCGGAUUCGGUGGAGGUGGAAGACCCGAUCAUGACGGCGGUGAAGGUGGAGGAGAGUAUGGAUCUAGGCCUGGUAGGCCGCAGUAUGGAUCCGCGGAGCCUCAAUCGGAGUAUGGAUCCAGGCCCGGUCGGCCUCAGUAUGGAUCCGAGGAGCCUCAAUCGGAGUUUGGAUCCGGUUACGGGCGAAAGCCGGAGUAUCAGGCGCCUGAAUCGGACUUUGGAUCGGGUUUCGGGCGAAAACCGGAAUAUCAGGCGCCCGAAUCGGAGUUUGGAUCGGGUUAUGGGAGGAAACCGGAGUACGAAGCGCCGGAACCGGAGUUUGGAUCCGGAUAUGGAAGGAAACCCGAGUUUGAAGGCGGGCCAGGUUAUGGCCGGAAGCCGA
rnacentral:lncRNA from 1 species